rnacentral:rRNA from 1 species
ACGUAGGUGGCGAGCGUUAUUCGGAUUCACUGGGCGUAAAGGGUCCGUAGGGGGUCUGCCAAGUCUGGUGUGAAAGCCCGCGGCUCAACUGCGGAACGGCACUGGAUACUGGCGGGCUACGAGUCUGCGAGGGGUAAGCGGAAUUCCUGGUGUAGCGGUGGAAUGCGUAGAUAUCAGGAAGAACACCGAUGGCGAAGGCGGCUUACUGGCGCAGUACUGACCCUGAGGGACGAAAGCGUGGGUAGCAAACAG